rnacentral:lncRNA from 1 species
GGGAGACAGGGCUCUUGGGUGGGGUGAGUGAGGAACCUUCCCCAGCUAGCGACUGGCCUCUCCUGGGUGCAUCUUCACCAUGACCAUUUUCUCUUUCAUUGAAGUGUCCCCGGACAGGAGAGCUGCUAGAAUCGUAUCCAGGAACUGAAGAAUGCAGGAGCUGCUGAAUCCAUGUGAUCCAAAGCUUGUAUUGUCUUAAAACAACAAAUGGUCCAGACACCCUCCUGUCCCCCAAUAUUCACUUUACACUCUUGUGUUUUGGAAGAAACCAGUAUCAAA